AUGGCUCAGUGAGGCCUUGGGACUGGCUCAGAGAGGUCGGCAACGACCACUCAGAGCCGGAAACUUGGUCAAACUUGGUCAUUUAGAGGAAGUAAAAGUCGUAACAAGGUUUCCGUGCUGGCGCUCCUCCGGAGUCGAGGCAGUCUGGACAUAAGAAAACGAAGUUAGUAAUCUUUCCACAGGUGACGCUUCGGAAGCCUUAGCAGCCUGAAAGGGUGGCCCUCCGCGACAAUAAACAAUAGAAGAGGUGCAGAAAUGCUAGUUGAUACUCUCUUGAGUAUUGGCAACACCGUCAAAUUGCGGGAACCCCCUAAAGACUUCUGCUACCAAGCAGCAUUGGGAAACCUUUUGCUGUGGCCAGGGUAAUGACCUCGGGUAUGGUAACAACGUGGAAGUAUGAUCCUCUGGUCUUCAGAGGUGAAAUGGGCAACCUGCAGCCAAGUCCGUCACACUCGUCCUCGGGUGUCGGAUGCUGUUCACAGGCCAAAUGGUGGUGGGUCGGCUCGGUAGAGCUGGCUUAAGAUAUGGUCGGGCCCCUUGGGAAACCUCGCGGGGUAGUCACCACACAGUCAAAUGGAGGCUUGGAACAACAGAGUGCAAGUUCCUCGUCAUGGGUGGCUGUGACAACCAGGAGAAUUGUAAAAUGUAAAUGGAGACCGCAGGCGUUGGCACUUGGAAAGAAAUGUUGGUGGUGUGGGCAGAGAGUUAUCAGAAUAUCAUUGUUCAAGAUACUGAUUGAAUAUUCAGUCGGUAAAAUACUCCAGAGAAAAGUUGCAAGGCAUGCCCCCCGUGUAUCGCUGCGCACAUACUCAUAUUGUGUUGACAAUGAUUGUGAAGAUCUCUUUCUGACCACCCCGCAGGCACCAUUCCCAUCUGCCAGUACCAUAUCUGCAAGUCCAUAUCUGAAGGCCGCCCGUGCCAAAUGCCUUCGCAAUCGAUACUCCUGGUUGACAUACUGUUCCGUAGGUGAACCUGCGGAAGGAUCAUUAACGAGUUAGGGUCUUCCAGGCCCGACCUCCCAACCCUAUGUUUACUGAACCUUCGUUGCUUCGGCGGACCCGCCUCUCGGCCGCCGGAGGACCGCCUCACGGCGUCCUCUGGCCCGCGUCCGUCGACGGCCAACCUCAAAAAACGCUGAAAUAACCGUGUUGUGUGUCUCAGUCCCAUGAUCAAAUUAAAGCAAAACUUUCAACAACGGAUCUCUUGGUUCUGGCAUCGAUGAAGAACGCAGCGAAAUGCGAUAAGUAAUGCGAAUUGCAGAAUUCCAGUGAGUCAUCGAAUCUUUGAACGCACAUUGCGCCCUUUGGCAUUCCGAAGGGCAUGCCUGUUCGAGCGUCAUUAUCACCCCUCGGGCCCUGUGCUCGACGUUGGACGGCUGGUUGGGCAACCGACCCCUCCUAAAGACAAUGACGGCGGCCUGUGGCGCCCCCGGUACACUGAGCUUUUCACGGAGCACGUACCGGACGAGGGUGCCCGGGACCCGGUCCUCUCCUUUGACUAGGAAACUUCUCAAGGUUGACCUCGGAUCAGGUAGGAAUACGCGCUGAACUUAAGCAUAUCAAUAAGCGCAGGAAAAGAAACCAACAGGGAUUACCUCAGUAACGGCGAGUGAAGCGGUAAUAGCUCAAAUUUGAAAUCUGGCCUCUCGGGGUCCGAGUUGUAAUUUGUAGAGGAUGUUUUGGGUACCGCCCCGGUCUAAAUUUCUUGGAACAGAAUGUCAUAGAGGGUGAGAAUCCCGUCUUGGACCGGCGGUAGGGCCUGUGUAAAACUCCUUCGACGAGUCGAGUUGUUUGGGAAUGCAGCUCAAAAUGGGUGGUAAAUUUCAUCUAAAGCUAAAUAUUGGCCAGAGACCGAUAGCGCACAAGUAGAGUGAUCGAAAGAUGAAAAGCACUUUGAAAAGAGAGUUAAACAGUAUGUGAAAUUGUUGAAAGGGAAGCGCUUGCAACCAGACUUGAGCGCGGCGGUUCCCCCGGCCUUUUGGCCGGGCUACUCCGCCGUGUCCAGGCCAACAUCGGUUCUGAGGGUCGGUCAAAGGCCCCGGGAAUGUAUCUACCCACGGGUAGACUUAUAGACCGGGGUGUCAUGCGGCCUCUCGGGACCGAGGAACGCGCUUCGGCUCGGAUGUUGGCGUAAUGGUUGUCAGCGACCCGUCUUGAAACACGGACCAAGGAGUCUAACAUCUAUGCGAGUGUUUGGGUGUCAAACCCGGAACGCGAAAUGAAAGUGAACGGAGGUAGGAAGCUUCGGCUGCACUAUCGACCGAUCCUGAAGUUUACGGAAGGAUUUGAGUAAGAGCAUAGCUGUUGGGACCCGAAAGAUGGUGAACUAUGCCUGAAUAGGGUGAAGCCAGAGGAAACUCUGGUGGAGGCUCGCAGCGGUUCUGACGUGCAAAUCGAUCGUCAAAUUUGGGUAUAGGGGCGAAAGACUAAUCGAACCAUUAAGUUACCGGUGGUUGAGUGUAACCAUGAAAGUGGGUGCAAGUGCCUAGUUCUGGCGCGACACUAUCAAAUUGCGGGGACUCCCUAAAGCUUUAACGACCGCCCCGCCUAUGAAAAUACGGCGCGGGCACCGGGUUAACGACCUCGGGUAUGGUAACACUGUUAAAGAUACGACAAUGGGUAAUCUGCAGCCAAGUUCUAAGGGCCUGUCGGCCUAUGGACGCAGUUCACAGACUAAAUGGUAGUGGGCUCUUCUUGGGCUUAAGAUAUAGUCGGUCCCCCAGGGAAACCUGGGCACACGCGCUAAAUCUGGAGGGAAGACUCUGCCUAGGCAGUUCCUCCAGACCUGAACGGUGUGGGCGCUCUCGGGG
rnacentral:rRNA from 1 species